ensembl:lncRNA LINC02048 long intergenic non-protein coding RNA 2048
CCUGGCUCCAAUCAGCUAAUUUUCAAACCUUUGAUCCAUUGAUCCAUUGGGCAGUCUGGGCUUGCUUGGUUCUUGGUUCAGUGACAGACAGCAGAGGGUGAGAGAAAUGGCACAGGGCUGAGAGCCAUGAAGUCACUGGGUGAACGGUGUGACCACACCAGGCCAGGGAAGAAACACGUGCCCAGCCUGCCAUCUGCCCUCCUGUCUUGGAGCCAGGUCUUUCCACCAGCUUCCUUCAUCUUUUAACACUUGGUGAAAAGGAAUGACACGUCAGUCAAAGCCCCUGGCCGGUGCUCAUGGAGCAUCUGGCAGGAGGAAGCCCCUUCCUGGCUGGCCUCCCAUUCAUCAGUCAGCGCCGCAGGCUGGGCCAGGAAGCUGCAUUUGUUGGCCAGGAUUUGAGAUUUCUUUCACUGAGGCCUCCGGAGAGACAUUCCAACGGUGAACACAGAGCACAAACUCAAGAAAUAAAACCACAUGUACUGCCUCAAAGGCAACAAGGCAGGAGGGUGUAAAAAACCCCAGGGGGAGAUACAAAGGCUCAAAGUUCUGCAACCCACACCCCUUGGAAAGAGAGUAGGGUCAGCUCCUCUCCCACCCCAAACUCCCAGUUUGAAUUUUUUAAAAAAACAGCCUUAUAAGCAAACAUCUGCCACUCUCCGGCUUCUGAAUGAAAGGUGAAGAUCAGAAAAAGGAAUCUUUGUGUUUUCAUUAGGUAUUUUAGCAAAUGCAAUGAGGACAUUCAGAUUUGAUUUCCCUGUUUUGUACACACACAUAAGUCGGUGCUAAGAGGAUUACUUUUCCUGGAGCUGCGUCCUUCCUAAAGGCCCCCGUCAAAAGAGACCCUUGUUCAACAGUGUUUUCUCUGAUUCCUCUGGCUUUUCUUCCUUGCCUCAAUGUGCACACAUCUAGCUUGCUCCUAAAUCCACCCACCUCACAGACUUUGGGAUAACGAUGGUCCCGGCACUCCAUUCUCCUCCUGCCCGGGUUCCUUAAUAAAGCUGGAGAUGAACAUUAGUGCUUGGUUCAGCAGCAUCCGAAAGGGAAACGGUGGCCUCCUCGAGCCCUCGAUGCCCCAUAGAAAAAUGUAGCCUUUUUGCCUCUGCUCCGAUGAAUGGCUUUUCGAGGGUUUUCAUUAGGACCGGGUCUGCUGGUGCAGAAAGCCUCACAGAUGUUGACAUUUUUUCAUCCCUGGGUUAAGAUGUCUUCCAUAAGCUUUUAUUCCUCAUUUGUUACUUCUUUAUUAUCCGGGAGGUUUUGCCUCCUCCCUCUUCUCCUUUCUCUGAAGAGAGCAGCGGUAGCUGAGCCCGUCAUUAUCUCGGCCCUUUUCUCCUGCCUCCAGAGGCAGCCCGGGACUCGGGUCCCAUUGUGGCAAACAGCAGGUAGCUGAGGCAGGCCGGGUCACUCCCCAGACCCUUUUGUGCGGCCGUCCCCUCCUCCCUGCAGCUUGGUUCUGGGGAUGUAAAAGGUCAGGAGCAGCCAAGCUUCCAUACCUGAGCUUUUGUCUGGGGCUGGAGGCAAAUGAUUUUAGAAGCAAUUUCUUGGAAAGCAGCCUGGAGACUCCCGUCUCCCUCGUUAAAAUGCACAGCUGUACUCCUAGCCCACUCCUUGGGGCUGGGGGUGAGGGGACAGGGGGAUUAGCUCAGAUCAUCUGGAUCCAAAAAUGCCCUGAGAAAAAAACUUUCUACCCAGAGGAUGGUUGAGACAAUUCAAAUAGAAGCCUAGAGCCCUGAGAUGCUAAGCAGUGUUUUGUGAUAAACAGAGUGUGGUGUUC